UACGUAGGGUGCAAGCGUUAAUCGGAAUUACUGGGCGUAAAGCGUGCGCAGGCGGCUUUGCAAGACAGAUGUGAAAUCCCCGGGCUUAACCUGGGAACUGCAUUUGUGACUGCAUGGCUCGAGUGCGGCAGAGGGGGAUGGAAUUCCGCGUGUAGCAGUGAAAUGCGUAGAUAUGCAGAGGAACACCGAUGGCGAAGGCAAUCCCCUGGGCCUGCACUGACGCUCAUGCACGAAAGCGUGGGGAGCAAACAGG
rnacentral:rRNA from 1 species